rnacentral:snoRNA from 1 species
AGCCUCUUGAUGCUUACCACAGGCUGUGUGGUUACACUGCCUGUAUAAAACGAAGAGGUAGAGUAAACCUGCUCCAUAUACACCUCAGCUCAGGCCCUGUGUCUGGUCUGUAUUGCGAAUGGGAGAACACAG